GGGAAUCUUACUGCAGGCUCAGUCAUAUAAUUUCUCCCAAUACCUGGCAGGCAACUCCAGCCAUAUCCUGAGCUCACAAGAGACAUUUUCCUUCAUCCUAGACCACAUAUUGUUUUGGAAGAUCGUGGAGAAGACUGAGACUCCCCAGAGGACUGUGCUCUAAUCCCGUCAUAUUUCUUCAAAUGCUGGAAAGUGUGAGGUUCCAUGAAUGUCAUGCCCGAGAUGACAAGUCUUUAUUCCUACCUGCAACAUAUCUUUCUGUUUACAGAUUUGUCAGAUGCAAAUUGUCGUGAAGGAUAUUCUUGAAGUGAUGCAAAUAUUUUAAAACUGGAUUAUUGAGUUGGUUGCACAACUUGGUAAAGUAACUAAAAACCAGUGAAUUGUAAACUUGAAGUAAAUGAGUUUUACAGUCCAUAAAUUAUACUUGAAUAAUGUUAGAAAUAACAAAAAAAGUGAGCUCAUUAUAAGUAAGGGCUGGUAAGAAGACUGAUAUGACUUCAGCAGU